rnacentral:pre_miRNA from 9 species
CUCCCCACGGCCCUGUCUCCCAACCCUUGUACCAGUGCUGUGCCUCGGUCCCUGGUACAGGCAUGGGGGGCAGGGACCUGGGGGC